rnacentral:rRNA from 1 species
ACGGGUGAGUAACACGUAGAAAAUCUGCCUUAAGGAAGGGGACAACAGUUGGAAACGACUGCUAAUACCCUAUAUGAGCUAGACUGAAAUGUCUAUCUUGAAAGUUCCGGCGCCUUAAGAUGAGUCUGCGUCUGAUUAGCUUGUUGGUGGGGUAAAGGCCUACCAAGGCGACGAUCAGUAGCUGGUUUGAGAGGAUGACCAGCCACAAUGGGACUGAGACACGGCCCAUACUCCUACGGGAGGCAGCAGUAGGGAAUUUUGCGCAAUGGGGGAAACCCUGACGCAGCAAUACCGCGUGAACGACGAAGCUCUUCGGAGUGUAAAGUUCUGUCAGUGGGGACGAAUUUUUGACGGUACCCACAAAGGAAGCAUCGGCUAACUACGUGCCAGCAGCCGCGGUAAGACGUAGGAUGCAAGCGUUGUCCGGAAUCAUUGGGCGUAAAGCGUUCGUAGGCGGUAUGUCAAGUCUGAUGUUAAAGCCCGGAGCUCAACUCCGGUUCGGCAUUGGAUACUGGCAAACUAGAGUGCAAUAGAGGUAAGGGGAAUUCCUAGU